GCUUGACUGUAGUUUGGAAUAGGGUUCGGGCUUUUCUUGCGCAGCCUAGGUGGGAGGCAUUGAGUAUUUCUUUUCGGGGAAAUAGGAGCCAUCAUUGAGAGACCACUCUGGAAGAGCUAGAAUCCUAAUGGCGUUCCUUGAAUCAGGACGCUUGACAGUUUCAGAUGGGCAGUUUUCUUGGGGCGAGAUUCUUAGUUAUGGGAUGCUUGGAAUUUUUAUGAUCAAAACUAAAUCAAUUUAAAACCUUUUAAUUUGAUUGUAUUAAAUUCAAGUAGAAUUUGACUAUAUGCUGGAAUGUUUCUAUGUUGACUAAUGUGGGAUAAGCUCGCCUUGUCGUUACCUACCACAAAUGUUAAACAGCAGGGUUUUUUUGGAAACCCCUGAAACUAAUCAGCAGGGUCACAACAAAUUUUUGUGACCCUCAAAGACUUUACGUCAAACUUUUAAGUUAGUUUUAAAUUUUGAAAGAUGAUAAAGUCUAACCUAAAUUAUUAGGUUGCCUAAAGGGUAACGGAGAAGCGCAAUGGUCCCCUCAACCUGGACGGAAAUCAGGCUUUGAGUGCAAAGGCAUAAGGGGGCUUGACUGCAAGACCUACAAGUCGAGCAGG
rnacentral:rRNA from 1 species